rnacentral:rRNA from 1 species
ACAGACAACCAGGAGGUUGGCUUAGAAGCAGCCACCCUUGAAAGAGUGCGUAAUAGCUCACUGGUCUAGUGAUUCCGCGCCGACAAUGUAGCGGGGCUCAAGCGUACCGCCGAAGUCGUGUCAUUGCAGCAAUACGGCCAACGCCGGCUGUGAUGGGUAGGGGAGCGUCGUGUGCCGGGUGAAGCAGCCGCGUAAGCGAGUUGUGGACGGUUCACGAGUGAGAAUGCAGGCAUGAGUAGCGAUACAAACGUGAGAAACGUUUGCGCCGAUUGACUA